ncrna:unclassified sequences ROOL RNA
CCCUCACUGCUUAUAUGAGGAAGCGUGUGUAUAAACCUAUGACAGGGUUCACGCCAUUCAAUCUAUAAAUCGACAGCGACGUUCUGCCGGGAUACCGACGGAAUUUCAGACAAGCCAAAGGGUAAUAGCUUUGGUUGACCUACACCGAAAAGGAAAUAGGUGUCGUUGGUUGAGUGAGAAAGCAUUAAAUUAUUGAUAAAGUAGGCAACAAUGUCAGCAGAAUUACAAUUGCCGGCGGAGAUUUAGGCGCUCCGUGUAAAGCAGUCUCACGCUAAUCUGGCAGACAUGUCAGGGAACCACGAGAUAAAUGUAAGUUAAAAUUCUGGUCCACGAUGAUCCGCAGAAAUGCGGGUAUAACUGAUACGUGCCGUACGAGUAGCCCAAAACGUGGAAAUUACAAUACAGGUUUUUGCAUAACCAUCAAUCGCAUUGUUGGGUGAAAGUUGGAGGAUAAAUCCUCACCAAGAUUUAAAUUAAGCAAGAGAUAUAAGGCCGCUCCUUAUAUUGCGACUUGCUUAAACUUGUGACUGAAUAAUCAACGAUUUAACAAGUUCAAGUGGUUAAUAGCCACCCGCAUAACUAGGAAUAUAG